AUCCGGUCCGCCGAUCGAUUC
rnacentral:snRNA from 1 species